CGACAGGCCUAACACAUGCAAGUCGAGGGGCAUCGGGGCGAGGAGCAAUCCUUGCCGCCGGCGACCGGCGCACGGGUGAGUAACGCGUAUGCGACCUGCCCGUUGCAGGGGGAUAAUCGGGAGAAAUCCCGUCUAAUACCGCGUAAUGCCGCGGGGCUGCAUGGCCCUGCGGCCAAAGGGAGCGAUUCCGGCAACGGAUGGGCAUGCGUGACAUUAGCUAGUUGGCGGGGCAACGGCCCACCAAGGCGACGAUGUCUAGGGGUUCUGAGAGGAAGGUCCCCCACACUGGUACUGAGACACGGACCAGACUCCUACGGGAGGCAGCAGUGAGGAAUAUUGGUCAAUGGGCGCGAGCCUGAACCAGCCAAGUCGCGUGAGGGAUGACGGCCCUACGGGUUGUAAACCUCUUUUGUCGGGGAGCAAAUUCCGCCACGUGUGGCGGAGUCGAGAGUACCCGAAGAAAAAGCAUCGGCUAACUCCGUGCCAGCAGCCGCGGUAAUACGGAGGAUGCGAGCGUUAUCCGGAUUUAUUGGGUUUAAAGGGUGCGUAGGCGGACUGUCAAGUCAGCGGUAAAAUACGGGGGCUCAACCUCCGCCCGCCGUUGAAACUGACGGUCUUGAGUGGGCGAGAAGUAUGCGGAAUGCGUGGUGUAGCGGUGAAAUGCAUAGAUAUCACGCAGAACUCCGAUUGCGAAGGCAGCAUACCGGCGCCCAACUGACGCUGAAGCACGAAAGCGUGGGUAUCGAACAGGAUUAGAUACCCUGGUAGUCCACGCAGUAAACGAUGAAUACUAGCUGUCCGGGGCGAAUGAGCCCUGGGUGGCACAGCGAAAGCGUUAAGUAUUCCACCUGGGGAGUACGCCGGCAACGGUGAAACUCAAAGGAAUUGACGGGGGCCCGCACAAGCGGAGGAACAUGUGGUUUAAUUCGAUGAUACGCGAGGAACCUUACCCGGGCUCAAACGACACAGGAACGUACCUGAAAGGGUUCGGCUCUACGGAGCCUGUGUCGAGGUGCUGCAUGGUUGUCGUCAGCUCGUGCCGUGAGGUGUCGGCUUAAGUGCCAUAACGAGCGCAACCCCCAUCGACAGUUGCUAACAGGUCAGGCUGAGGACUCUGUCGAGACUGCCGGCGCAAGCUGCGAGGAAGGCGGGGAUGACGUCAAAUCAGCACGGCCCUUACGUCCGGGGCGACACACGUGUUACAAUGGCAGGUACAGCGGGAAGCCACCUGGCGACAGGGAGCGGAACCCGAAAGCCUGUCUCAGUUCGGAUUGGAGUCUGCAACCCGACUCCAUGAAGCUGGAUUCGCUAGUAAUCGCGCAUCAGCCACGGCGCGGUGAAUACGUUCCCGGGCCUUGCACACACCGCCCGUCA
rnacentral:rRNA from 1 species